AUUUUGUUUCCUCAGGCACCUUCGAUACAAAGACCGUAAACUCAUCAGAAUAUUAUGAAAAUGUCCAAAUGGAUGAACAGGGUGCAAGGAACAAUGCGCAGGAUGGAGACUCCACUUACACGGGUCUUAUCCUGGAGUAUCGAUCUGUUUACCGUGAUCUGAACAG